rnacentral:rRNA from 1 species
CAGUAGCCGCGGGAAUACGAAGGGGGCUAGCGUUGCUCGGAAUGACUGGGCGUAAAGGGCGCGUAGGCGGUUCGUACAGUCGGAUGUGAAAUUCCUGGGCUUAACCUGGGGGCUGCAUUCGAUACGUGCGGGCUUGAGUGUGGAAGAGGGUUGUGGAAUUCCCAGUGUAGAGGUGAAAUUCGUAGAUAUUGGGAAGAACACCGGUGGCGAAGGCGGCAACCUGGUCCAUGACCGACGCUGAGGCGCUAAAGCGUGGGGAGCAAACAGGAUUAGAUACCCCUGUAGUCCCUGUCUCUUAUAC